rnacentral:rRNA from 1 species
UGCAGAAUCCCGUGAACCAUCGAGUCUUUGAACGCAAGUUGCGCCCGGAGCCUUUAGGCCGAGGGCACGCCUGCCUGGGCGUCA